rnacentral:lncRNA from 1 species
CCUCAUGCAAAACUACUAUGGAUUUAUCUGCUGCUGUAGCAACACCAUCCCCUGUAUUUGUUGCAGCCCCAGCAGAGAAAGGGCAUUUUCUUAUUGACUUUCUCAUGGGAGGUGUUUCAGCAGCUGUCUCAAAAACUGCUGCUGCCCCCAUUGAACGUGUUAAGCUUCUGAUCCAGAACCAGGAUGAAAUGCUCAAAACUGGAAGGCUUUCUGAGCCCUACAAGGGUAUUGGUGAUUGUUUUAAAAGAACAAUGGCUGAAGAGGGUGCUGUUUCUCUAUGGAGAGGAAACACUGCAAAUGUCAUCCGUUAUUUCCCCACUCAGGUUAGUUAUUUCGUAAUUUUCGUAUGGCAAAAUUUAGACACUGUUCUCCAGAAAUUUGAUUAUUGUUGUUUUCCCAUGAACUCAGAUUUUUACCAUAGAAAUCUAUGUUGACACUCACUAUACAGUCUUUUAUUUAGCAUUUGGUAAAACAUAAAAUCCAACCAAAGUUCUUUACAUAUUUUAUGUGAUACUGAAUUUGCUGUUUGAAUUGUAUCAGGCUUUGAACUUUGCAUUUAAGGACUAUUUCAAGAGGCUUUUCAAUUUCAAGAAGGACAGAGAUGGCUACUGGAAGUGGUUUGCUGGUAACUUGGCCUCUGGAGGUGCUGCUGGUGCAUCGUCCCUUUUAUUUGUUUACUCUCUUGACUAUGCCCGUACCCGUCUUGCCAAUGAUGCUAAGGCUGCAAAGAAGGGUGGAGAGAGACAAUUCAAAGGUCU